rnacentral:rRNA from 1 species
GACGAAGGAUGCAAGCGUUAUCCGGAUUCAUUGGGCGUAAAGGGUGCGUAGGCGGCGCGGUAAGUCGGGUGUGAAAUUUCGAGGCUUAACUUCGAAACUGCAUUCGAUACUGCCGUGCUUGAGGACUGGAGAGGAGACUGGAAUUCAUGGUGUAGCAGUGAAAUGCGUAGAGAUCAUGAGGAAGACCAGUGGCGAAGGCGGGUCUCUGGACAGUUCCUGACACUGAGACACGAAGGCCAGGGGAGCAAAACGGG